AGUCACAUGAACACUUACUCACCCAGAAAAGCUAAUCUUUCUGUCAGCUGCUGCGUAUUCCUGUUUUCACAGAGAUGGGACCAGAUGCAGUGGACUACAAAAUUAGAUACUGCCAUUCUCUCAAGUGUUUGAGAACAGAAUGCCUUGGUUUGGUUGCCUGGAUUACUUUAUAUCUUCAUUGAAGUCCGAGAGUGAAAGAUGAAGAUGAAGACUACAUCAGCUGAGGGAGAGCAAAAGACUUUAAAAUACAAAAUUGUGAUUAUACACAUUCAUUGUCAUAGAUGAAUGAAGUAAUUAUACGCAACAAUGUUUUUUAGCCUAGUACAACACAUCAAGAUGAAAAGUUGUGCAAAGUCCUCGUCAAUUGUUAUAUUUUUUUUCACACGUGAACUUACUGUGGAAGCAACUAACAGGAUGAUUCAACAACAACUGGCAUAUCGGACAUCUUUUUUAUGCUUUCUUACACUCAGAAACAAAAAGACCGGAUCAGCUGUACAGAAGAUACAACUCAAGAUCCAAGGUUAACCCCGACCCUUCUGAAUUAUUGGAGGUUGUGGUGGAUGGCCAACAAACUUCGCCCACCACUUCUGUACAGUGUGAGACCGACCCUACUGCUGUGGAUAGAGUGGUGGUGUACGAUGAUCUAACUUACACUCCACCUUCUAGCAAGUUUGCAAUCACAGAGCUCAUCAGUUUGGCUGCUACUCAAAGAGUCAUCCUGACUCCUUCCCAGCUACAUACCAUCAAGCAAGGGUUCUGCUGUGUUGUUUGUUUGAAGUUCAUCGAGGAGCCAGUCUUCACACAGUGUUGCCGAAGCAUUAUUGGCUGCAAAACAUGUGUGGAACGGUGCCAGCAGACCUUUGUGCACUGUCCAAAAUGUAGAGGGAACACCGCAGGAAACAACAUCUUUGAAGUUACUGGUCUCUCAGAGGCAUUUUCUGUUCUGAGAUCCCUUUUUGAAGAGGACUAACGUACUCUCUUUCUAGGAAUGUGCAGAGGGCCCAGGAUUUAUAUUUAUUGAUGCAGCAAAAUUAUUCAUAUUUGUAUUCAA